GGCUUCGGCUUUGUUCUUGGGUCCUGGAUACUGGGGGCAGACUCUCGAGACUUCCACAACAUGUGACCUUCAGCAAAGUCUUAGAACACUUCUAGACCUCAGCAAGUAACCUACGAGAGGCGGUUAUGACUGGUCCUGUCUUCAAGCUAGGCUGCAAGAGUCAAGUGGCAACUGAAUCAGUGCAUCAUGCCCAGCAUGGAGGAAGCCAUCAGUCAUCCUGGGAUCACCAUUGGUUGGCCUCUGCACCAUGGGAUAGAUGAUCGGACACUAACCUGAGGCAGAAGGAAGGGCCCUGGAGGAUCUCUGUCACUCCCCAGAGCCUGCACUCUUACCAGCUCCUGAAUGCCCACAGGGGCUUCCUGUGAUUUUUGCCAUGCUUCGCUUCUGUAUCCUGCCUUCAGCAGGUACUACCCUCCCCCACCAUCAUACUCUGCUGGGGAAGGGAUUGCUGAGAACAGCAAUCGCCCAAGGACACACAACUACUGUACAUGCUAAGUGUUCUGCCCUUAUAGAAAUACAAGGAAAAGAAACCCUCUUAAUGUUUCCCCUCCACUAUCCGUAUGUGUCUUGGGGUUGUACUGUGUUAGAAUGUUAGAUUUUCACAACUGCUUUUUGAAUUGCUGACUUGGGUUACGCUAAAAAAAAAGAAAGAAAGAAAAAAGAAAAAAAGUGGGUGUUUUAGUCAUCAUCCUAUUGCUGUAGAGAGAGACCCAUGACUACAACAACUCUUAUAAAAAGAAGCAUUUGCUGGGCGUGGUGGCGCAUGCCUUUAAUCCCAGCACUCAGGAGGCAGAGGCAGAGGCAGGUGGAUUUCUGAGUUCGAGGCCAGCCUGGUCUACAAAGUGAGCUCCAGAACAGCCAGGGCUCUACAGAGAAACCCUGUCUCAAAAAUAAAAAAAGCAAAAAAUAAAAUAAAUAAAAAGAAGCAUUUAAUUGGAGCUGGCUUACAGUCUCAGAGGAUCAGUCCAUUAUCAGCAUGGCAGGAAUCGAGAAAUCAUGGCACCAUGCAGGCAAAAUGGUGCUGGAGGAACUGAGAGUUCGACAUCGGGAUCCUCAAACAGCAGGAAGAGAAAGACAGUGGGCCUGGCUUGAGCAUUUGAAACCCCCAAAUCCACCCCCAGUGACAUACUUCCUCCAACAAGGUCACACCUACACACCUCCUAAACCUUUCAAAUAGUGCCACUCCCUAUGAGCCUAUGGGGGCCAUUUUUAUUCAGACAACUACAUUGGGCCAACAAGAUGGCUCAGGGAUUAACUCGGCAUUUGCAAACAAGCCAGAAAUCCUGAGUUGGAAUCUUGGGGUCCCACAUGGUAGUGAGAGGGAUGAGACAGGCUGAUUCCAUGACAGGCUUCAAAUCGGCAGUUAAGGAGACUAGGCCUAAGAACUAGGCAAGUCGAGGCAAGCCCAGGCAAGUCAAUUACUAAUAGAAAGAAACCCAGGCUCCAGCCUUCAUGCCCAGGCAAUGGAAUGUUCCAGAUACCUGGCCUGAGACAAGGACAAUGGGUCAGCAGCAGCUUCCAGACUUCCUCAGCUGCUUCCUCAGUAACAGUUUGCAGACCUCCCCAGCAAGUUUCCAGCCCCCACACCCAGGUAAUGGAAUGUCCGUAGAGAUGGACCCAACCCCAGAAUUCUCUAAUGUGCUUGAAAUCAGGCCUGCAAGCUCACUUGGGUGUCUCUCUAUCUUGGUAAUGGGAGAUCCCAGCAUGCUGGACUUCUGCAGAAUAAAACAUUCUUUGCGUUUACAU
rnacentral:lncRNA from 1 species